rnacentral:rRNA from 1 species
AGUCGAACGCCCCGCAAGGGGAGUGGCAGACGGGUGAGUAACGCGUGGGAAUCUACCCUUUGGUACGGGAUAGCUCCGGGAAACUGGAAUUAAUACCGUAUGUGGCUUGAGAGCGAAAGAUUUAUCGCCAAAGGAUGAGCCCGCGUUGGAUUAGCUAGUUGGUGGGGUAAAGGCCUACCAAGGCGACGAUCCAUAGCUGGUCUAAGAGGAUGAUCAGCCACAUUGGGACUGAGACACGGCCCAAACUCCUACGAGAGGCAGCAGUGGGGAAUAUUGGACAAUGGGCGCAAGCCUGAUCCAGCCAUGCCGCGUGAGUGAUGAAGGUCUUAGGAUUGCAAAGCUCUUUCACCGGGGACGAUAAUGACGGUACCCGGAGAAGAAGCCCCGGCUAACUUCGUGCCAGCAGCCGCGGUAAUACGAAGGGGGCUAGCGUUGUUCGGAAUUACUGGGCGUAAAGCGCACGUAGGCGGACAUUUAAGUCAGGGGUGAAAUCCCGGGGCUCAACCCCGGAACGGCCUUUGAUACUGGGUGUCUUGAGUUCGGAAGAGGUGAGUGGAAUUGCGAGUGUAGAGGUGAAAUUCGUAGAUAUUCGCAGGAACACCAGUGGCGAAG